rnacentral:rRNA from 1 species
UACAGAGGGGGCCAGCGUUAAUCGGAAUUACUGGGCGUAAAGCGUGCGCAGGCGGUUCUGAAAGUCAGCUGUGAAAGCCCCGGGCUUAACCUGGGAAUUGCGGUUGAAACUACAGGGCUAGAAUCUGGCAGAGGGGGGUGGAAUUCCACGUGUAGCAGUGAAAUGCGUAGAGAUGUGGAGGAACACCGAUGGCGAAGGCAGCCCCCUGGGCUGAGAUUGACGCUCAGGCACGAAAGCGUGGGGAGCAAACAGG